rnacentral:rRNA from 1 species
UACAGAGGUCUCAAGCGUUGUUCGGAUUCAUUGGGCGUAAAGGGUGCGUAGGCGGCGCGGUAAGUCGGGUGUGAAAUCUCGGGGCUUAACUCCGAAACUGCAUCCGAUACUGCCGUGCUUGAGGACUGGAGAGGAGACUGGAAUUUACGGUGUAGCGGUGAAACGCGUAGAUAUCGUAAGGAAGACCAGUGGCGAAGGCGGGUCUCUGGACAGUUCCUGACGCUGAGGCACGAAGGCCAGGGGAGCAAACGGG